GGUUGAUCCCGCCGGAGGUUACUGCUAUCGGUGUUCGCCUAAGCCAUGCGAGUCAUAUGUAGCAAUACAUGGCGUACUGCUCAGUAACACGUGGAUAACCUGCCCUUGGGUCCGGCAUAACCCCGGGAAACUGGGGAUAAUUCCGGAUAACGCACAUAUGCUGGAAUGCUUUAUGCGUCAAAUGGAUUCGUCUGCCCAAGGAUGGGUCUGCGGCCUAUCAGGUAGUAGUGGGUGUAAUGUACCUACUAGCCGACAACGGGUACGGGUUGUGAGAGCAAGAGCCCGGAGAUGGAUUCUGAGACAUGAAUCCAGGCCCUACGGGGCGCAGCAGGCGCGAAAACUUUACAAUGCGGGAAACCGUGAUAAGGGGACACCGAGUGUCAGCAUCAUAUGCUGGCUGUCCAGGUGUGUAAAAUACACCUGUUAGCAAGGGCCGGGCAAGACCGGUGCCAGCCGCCGCGGUAACACCGGCGGCCCGAGUGGUGAUCGUGAUUAUUGGGUCUAAAGGGUCCGUAGCCGGUUUGGUCAGUCCUCCGGGAAAUCUGAUAGCUCAACUAUUAGGCUAUCGGGGGAUACUGCCAGGCUUGGAACCGGGAGAGGUAAGAGGUACUACAGGGGUAGGAGUGAAAUCUUGUAAUCCCUGUGGGACCACCUGUGGCGAAGGCGUCUUACCAGAACGGGUUCGACGGUGAGGGACGAAAGCUGGGGGGCACGAACCGGAUUAGAUACCCGGGUAGUCCCAGCCGUAAACGAUGCUCGCUAGGUGUCAGGCAUGGCGCGACCGUGU
rnacentral:rRNA from 1 species